rnacentral:tRNA from 1 species
UCCUGGGUAGCUCAGUUGGCAGAGCGCUCCACAGGAAAUGGAGAGGCCCCUGGUUCGACACCAGGACCAGGGU